UACGUAGGGGGCAAGCGUUGUCCGGAUUUAUUGGGCGUAAAGCGCUCGCAGGUGGUUCAUUGCGUCGUGCGUGAAAGACCCCGGCUCAACUGGGGAGGGUCGUGCGAAACGGGUGAACUAGAGGCCAGUAGGGGGAUGUGGAAUUCCGGGUGUAGUGGUGGAAUGCGUAGAGAUCCGGAAGAACACCGGUGGCGAAGGCGGUGAGCUGGGCAGUUGCUGACACUGAGGCGCGACAGCGUGGGGAGCAAACAGG
rnacentral:rRNA from 1 species